rnacentral:lncRNA from 10 species
GAAUCUAAUUACUGGCUCUUGUGGGGUGGACCCGUGAGUGCGUCUUUAUGAACAUGAUGGGCUGAAGUAAUCUCCAAGUCUGCGUGCUAAUGACCUUCUGAAAGCUAUUGUUAUUUCCAAGGCCCUGAGGAAAUUAUAUCUUAAUUAUAGAGGAAAGGUCCACUCCAACAUGAAGACACUGGGAGGAAAGAAAGAAUAAUGAAGGAAGCUAAAAGUGGAAUCACUGGGAUAGGAGAAGAAACAAAGAAAGUCCAUCCAGGAAGCCGCAGCUUUAGACAUCUUCCAGCGAUGUGCAGAGUGGACUCACCUGACAGACCAAGAGAAACUGCACUCCCGGAGAAGAGAAAUGCAUCCCCAGGAAGCUGAAGGCCCAGUAUGUAAAUUCUUGGCUCCUGGAGAGGAACCUGAGGUAGUGUGAUGGUUAAUAUUGAGUGUCAGCUUGAUUGGAUUGAAA